AAUGGCUUACCCUGAAAAGAACUUAUACAAAAGAUUGUUGAUUCUACUAGAUGGAUGAAAGCUAAAUCCGUAAUACGAAGAGAUGAGAAAAUUCGAAAAGUCAGGAAAAGACGUUGGAAGAUGGAGAGUUGAUCCUGCUUCACACCUCCCACCUCCAAGAGAUGUGCACAGAGUGAGUUUGCAAUGCCCUGGUGACUGCAUGGUGCUCCAUGAAGUUCAGCAUCAGUACUUCUCUGUCGCUUGCAGGUCAUAAUUGACAGCAGUGGUUUAAUUAAAUAAAAACAGCACGGCCGUUUCUUGCUAAAGCAGCAAACCCUAAUCAUCUGCUAGAAAUGGAUGCCUCCCGCUCUCACUGAGGAUAAACACGUGGAGCACUUGCAAAUUCUGAUAAGUGAGUGAACUGGAAAGGACGGGACUGUGCCAGAUGAGGUGAACUGCCUGCAGUGGGGAGGCUCCCUCCUGCCCCUGGAAAUGCGGAGGAGAAAAAAGAACACAGAGAUGAACAAACCUCAAGGGAACACGUUCAGGCUGUAAAAAUACCGAGGCAGUAUCAAGAUAUCUGGAAGCUCUCUUGGAAUACCCCGUGAGUCAUGGGCGCUGUAUAUUACAUGGUCAAUGCUUAUUCAACAGAAGUAAUUUCUCAUGCGAGACCACGGGAGUCAGAGAAAUUGGCUUUGCACCAAGGUGCCUGAUUCAGCAAGAUGUUACCAGCACAGAGGCUCUGCUGCUUUCAAACACCAGGAAAGGGGAAGCAAUCAUCACAAAGAGAAAACAGGAGAUCCCUAAUGGCUCUGUGCAUGGCAGUGUUUUAACUGUGAGCUGGAGGAUAAUAAUGCAUGACAUGGAAGGAGAAAUGCUGGGCAGUGGAGUGCACACAGAAUGUCCCAGUGACCUACAAUUCCCUGCCAAAGGCACAGGGGUAAAAGAUGUGGAUUUUAUAAUGUUCCUGGAGAGGAGACAUUCUAAAUAUAUGACGCAGAGGAGAAAAGAUUACUGCAGCACAAAGCAACGCUCUUCCCUCCUCACUCACAAAAGCAAUAGGCAACAAUUGAGCUGUGCACAUGGGAAGAUUUGUUUUCUUCAUGAAAACAAAUGAUUUAAAUAAGAGCCAGAACCAGCCAAAUGUUGAGCCUCUUGGCUGCCAGCUCACAUGGAUGGACCACGGCUGUGAAGAGCCCUUGGUUGGUGCCACACGCUUGAGAGGAGGAGCAACGCAAAUCGGCACGUGAGCUCUUUCUGGUGCCAACUGGAACCCAUCUCCACUUUCUUCUAAAUCUCAACUCCUCGUUCGUAUUCUUUUAGAGGAUCACAGAGCACUGAGCUGAAAAGCUUUGCCUGCCCAUGGAGCUAAAGGCACAUAUUUCCCAAAGCAGCAGGCUUCAACCAGCUCCAAGCCUUCUUGUUGCACGCGGAGCCACAAAAGCAUUAUGGUAAUUUUGAGCGCUGAACCAUUUAAAAUCUAUUUUAAUUGAUUCCUGGCUACUUCGUGAUUCCAGCAUGUUGUUAAAUGAGUGGCAGAUAAAAGUAGCAGGAGGUAACAUCUUCUGUAGUGCUGCGGGGAGAUCACGCCUAAAAUACGGCGUUCAACUCUGGGUACCUCAUUGCCAGAGAGAUGCAGACAAAUUGGAAGGAAUUCAUAGAAGAGCAUUAAAAAUGAUUAAGGGUCUGAAGAGACUGAGUUAUGAGCGAAGAUUAAAGGAACUUAAUAUGAAUCACUUGGCUAAAUGAUGACUAAGAGGGAAACGAUACCCUUCAACGAGUACUUGGAGGGCAUAAAUAUCACAAAUAAAAAGGAAUUAUUUAGGGUGCUGAAGGACGUA
ensembl:lncRNA